rnacentral:rRNA from 1 species
GAUUGAACGCUGGCGGCAGGCCUAACACAUGCAAGUCGAGCGGUAGCACAGAGAGCUUGCUCUCGGGUGACGAGCGGCGGACGGGUGAGUAAUGUCUGGGAAACUGCCUGAUGGAGGGGGAUAACUACUGGAAACGGUAGCUAAUACCGCAUAACGUCGCAAGACCAAAGUGGGGGACCUUCGGGCCUCAUGCCAUCAGAUGUGCCCAGAUGGGAUUAGCUAGUAGGUGGGGUAACGGCUCACCUAGGCGACGAUCCCUAGCUGGUCUGAGAGGAUGACCAGCCACACUGGAACUGAGACACGGUCCAGACUCCUACGGGAGGCAGCAGUGGGGAAUAUUGCACAAUGGGCGCAAGCCUGAUGCAGCCAUGCCGCGUGUGUGAAGAAGGCCUUCGGGUUGUAAAGCACUUUCAGCGGGGAGGAAGGCGUUAAGGUUAAUAACCUUGGCGAUUGACGUUACCCGCAGAAGAAGCACCGGCUAACUCCGUGCCAGCAGCCGCGGUAAUACGGAGGGUGCAAGCGUUAAUCGGAAUUACUGGGCGUAAAGCGCACGCAGGCGGUCUGUCAAGUCGGAUGUGAAAUCCCCGGGCUCAACCUGGGAACUGCAUUCGAAACUGGCAGGCUAGAGUCUUGUAGAGGGGGGUAGAAUUCCAGGUGUAGCGGUGAAAUGCGUAGAGAUCUGGAGGAAUACCGGUGGCGAAGGCGGCCCCCUGGACAAAGACUGACGCUCAGGUGCGAAAGCGUGGGGAGCAAACAGGAUUAGAUACCCUGGUAGUCCACGCCGUAAACGAUGUCGAUUUGGAGGUUGUGCCCUUGAGGCGUGGCUUCCGGAGCUAACGCGUUAAAUCGACCGCCUGGGGAGUACGGCCGCAAGGUUAAAACUCAAAUGAAUUGACGGGGGCCCGCACAAGCGGUGGAGCAUGUGGUUUAAUUCGAUGCAACGCGAAGAACCUUACCUGGUCUUGACAUCCACAGAACUUUCCAGAGAUGGAUUGGUGCCUUCGGGAACUGUGAGACAGGUGCUGCAUGGCUGUCGUCAGCUCGUGUUGUGAAAUGUUGGGUUAAGUCCCGCAACGAGCGCAACCCUUAUCCUUUGUUGCCAGCGGUUAGGCCGGGAACUCAAAGGAGACUGCCAGCGAUAAACUGGAGGAAGGUGGGGAUGACGUCAAGUCAUCAUGGCCCUUACGACCAGGGCUACACACGUGCUACAAUGGCAUAUACAAAGAGAAGCGACCUCGCGAGAGCAAGCGGACCUCAUAAAGUAUGUCGUAGUCCGGAUUGGAGUCUGCAACUCGACUCCAUGAAGUCGGAAUCGCUAGUAAUCGUAGAUCAGAAUGCUACGGUGAAUACGUUCCCGGGCCUUG